UUGGUUUUGGCCUUCGACACAACUUCAGAAGUGUUUGGGGAAUCAAAGGGCGGCUCUUAAUUGGGUUCGCCUUCCCCUUGCGGUUCUGAUAGUUUACUUUGAGAAAAAUAGAGCGUUCAAAGCAGGCAAUAUUGUUUGCCAUUGAAUACAUUAGCAUGGGAUAAUAGAAUAGGAUACUUUCUCCUUGGCUGGUCCCUUCUUAACCGGGCCUUCGUGGCUCGGUUGGGGGUUGGCCUUGGGGGUUUUUUGGUCUUCUAUUUUAAUGGUUUGCGGACCAGUAUAAUGAUUAAUAGGGACAGUUGGGGACAUUCAUAUUGCUUGGCUAGAGGUGAAAUUCUUGGAUUCAAGCAAGAUGAACUACUGCGAAAGCAUUUGUCAAAGAUGUUUUCAUUGAUCAAGAACGAAAGUUAGGGGAGCAAAGAUGAUUAGAUACCGUCGUAGUCUUAACCAUAAACGAUGCCGACCAGAGAUCGGUGGUUGUUUAUUUGGCGAUUUAUUUCGCCAAAGUGACACCAUCGGCAUCUUCCGGGAAACCAAAGUCUUUGGGUUCCGGGGGGAGUAUGGUCGCAAGGCUGAAACUUAAAGGAAUUGACGGAAGGGCACCACCAGGAGUGGAGCCUGCGGCUUAAUUUGACCCAACACGGGAAAACUCACCAGGUCCAGACAUGUUAAGGAUUGACAGAUUGAGAGCUCUUUCUUGAUUACAUGAAAGGUGGCGCAUGGCCGUUCUUAGUUGGUGGAGUGAUCUGUCUGGUUAAUUCCGAUAACGAACGAGACCUUGACCUGCUAAAUAGUCGGGUGAAGUGUGUCUUGGCCUUUUUUGGCCUUUUCAUGCUUUGUUAUUUCGCUCAGACUCUGUUUGGGCGGGACCCUCGGUCAUAUUGGGAGGGCGUAAUCCUUUCAUUAGGGUUUGCCUUUUCGAUUGGCCUUGGGCGACUUCUUAGAGGGACUAUCUGUUUCUAGCAGAUGGAGGUUCAAGGCGAUAACAGGUCUGUGAUGCCCUUAGAUGUCCUGGGCUGCACGCGCGCUACACUGACGAACUCAACGAGUUUAUAACCUUGGCAGAGAUGUCUGGGUAAUCUUUUCAAAGUUCGUCGUGCUGGGGCUAGAUGAUUGUAAUUAUUCGUCUUAAACGAGGAAUUCCUAGUAAGUGUGAGUCAUCAGCUCGCGCUGAUUACGUCCCUGCCCUUUGUACACACCGCCCGUCGCUCCUACCGAUUGAAUGGUCCGGUGAGAACUUCGGAUUUUGCGCAUGUUAUUGCUGGUUCGCCAGCAAUGUGCGCGAGAGAAGUUGUUCAAACCUUACCAUUUAGAGGAAGGAGAAGUCGUAACAAGGU
rnacentral:rRNA from 1 species